GGGGUAUCCACUGUCCACCCAAUCUCUUCUCCCCCAGUUAUUUUCUGGGACACUGCACAAUACAACUUUAUUUGAUGGCAGAACAUUCAGAAGCUGUAAGUUUGACACAUGGCAAAAUGCUUCUGCUGUUUCUGAGUCUCGGUUUGUUCACUUCUAAUGUCCAGUCAGAAAAACAAGGGGUUAAUGUAACGUGUGAAAAUCAAUCGGUUGUAGCAGGACAGAACCACAACCUGACAUGUAGAGUGGAUUACAGUGAUGUAGGUCAGAAUAAUCUGGGAUGUAAAACUACAAAUUGUUUCUGGAAACAUAAAUCAAAAUCUCCAAUACGAAAUUGUGAUUGUACAAAAGAUUGUAACACUACGAUAACAACCAACACCUACUUUUGUAAGAUCAAAAAUGUUACCAAAGUUGAUGAGGGAAACUACACUUUUACCAUUAACACAGACUGUGGCAACGGACAUGGCACAUUGAAUGUUUCCGUUACAGUGAGCAAUGAAAAACAAGCGUUUCUGGGAUCGUCAGGUCACCUAUCGUCAGCAUCAUCACUGUUCUGGGUUUUCUACUGUUUCUCAUCGCAAGACUUAAUAGUUCCUUGAGAAACAAUGACAAAGCUACCAGAGAGGCCCUAAACCAGAAGCCUGCAUAACUUUCAGUCUGGAGGAGCUGUGUGUGUUGGUUCUACUAUCCUUGUGGGGACAGAAAUAUCUCAUUUACAUAAGUAGUCAAACUCCUAAGUCAAUAAAUACUUUGUGGAAGCUCCUUCUGCAUUGAUUACCGCUG